rnacentral:ncRNA from 1 species
UUAGUCUUCGCGGGCUGCUGUCAAUCCAGCAGUCGGGUUUGGUAGCCCGAAUU